AUGGAACACAAAUCCUAUGCAAGACAGAUUUGCCUUGGGAAAGUAUUUUCUCUCCUUUUGGGCUGAGGAAUAAUGGGAGUUCAGACCAUGGCUUAAAUAAGGACAAAACUGAUCUGAAGUAGAAAGUAUAAAAGUUAAAUAAGUUUUAAGCUGAGUCUCACCUGUGAUUUGAAUCUACUCUUCAGUAAUUGUGGUGCUGAGGAUUGCUGGCUUACUUCCCACUUUGGAAGCUGCCACACGCCUUAUCCAAGAAGACAGAUGCAAAACCAGAGUGCCUGAGAAUCAAGCUCCCAGUGAACCAGACAACUCUUCACUGAGCAUAGAGGACCUUGCCACCUUUCAUCCUUUAUAUCUGUCUGGGGCUCUAGCAGAAGAAUAUUCACCUGCUUUCAAAUCAUAAGCAUGAUUUGUGGUUUGUGGUUUAUACUUCAUCUUGUUGCAGUAAGUGCAAUAUACUGCCCUCUGUGCUGUCGCAACAGCCAUUUGUAACAUUAGUCAUUUCCGUAGCUGUGUAGCCCACAGAGCAGUUGAAUGUUUUAAAAGCACUACUGCUCAGACCACAAGGAUUGUUUUCCACCCCAUUACAGUGUUUGGCACACUUCAGAGGCAAGAGAGGACAUGGCUACUUUCCACCUGAAGACCUGGGCAGAGGACCAGACCAACACAUGGAUUUCAGCUGGGGAGAAAGGAAAGGUCACAGACUCAGCUAGCUGUACUCAAAACAUAGAAUCAAGUAGUGAGCUUAUGACUGUCAGAUGAUGAUUCUUCCUGAAAUGUUUCUACUCCUGAUAACAAGAGAUGCAGACAGCAAACAAAUGCUGGUGGAGAAUUUACUUAUAUAAUCGUAAACAAUCUGUACCCUGAAAGACUGAAUAAAUAUGAACU